AGUUGCCAUGAUUUGGGGCCUUACCUCUGCUUUUCAUCUUUUGUUUCCCCUUAUGUCUUCUUUUUGAUUUUCUUCAAUGGCAAUCCCUCAACCAUCCCUUGUCAUUGAUUUUCAUCAUCCUCACUAUUUCCAAUACUCUAAAGCUUUACUUGUCUCUCAUCAACUUUUUGGCUUCGAAAACUAUAAUAUCUGAAAUCGAUCCACGCGCAUUGCUCUCCUCGCCAAAAAUAAACUUGGCUUUGUUGAUGGAACUUGCUUGAAAGUUGAUCUUCCAACAGCUCCUCACCCACAAUGGGAACGUUGUAAUGCGAUUGUACUCUCUUGGAUCUUAAACACUGUCUGUAAAGAAUUUUUUACUGGUGUUGUUUUUGCUUCAAGUGCUUCCCUUGUUUGGCAAGAUUUCAAAGAAUGGUAUAACAAGAUUGAUGGUUGUAGAAUUUUUGAAUCUACAUCGAACCAUUACUUCUCACACUCGAGGAAAAAUCUCAACAUAAGCUCUCUUCCACCCUGCCUUCUGCCUCUGCACCUACUGCUCUUUAUUCUUCGGCUACUCCUACUGGCCCUUCCAGGCGCAAGUUUCUCUUUAAUUUUAAGUUUAUUAGGAAGAAACUUGUCGCUAGUCACGUUAUCUCGUUAGAAGAUCCACUUGAAUUUGACAUUGCUUAUUCUGUCAAGGCUCAUUUACCCCUACUUUGACCUUGGAGCAAUAUCAACAACUUAUUACUCUUUUACAGAAGGACUCUUCUGUUACUGCUACUACCCACAUUACAGACCUUUGCAAUGGAAGGAUUAUGGAAAUUGGUAAAGAACAUGGUGGCCUAUACUUCUUUCAACCUCCCAACAUACCUACAAGUACCAUUUCACUUUCUGUCACAUCCGUCAUUGUUCAAUUGUCUAUUGUUCCUUCCUUUCUAACUUUACAUAAUGAUCCUCAUGUAUGGCAUGUUAAACUUGGCCGCACUUCUAUAUCCACAUGAAAAAAUAGAUCAAUUAAAAUUUGGUUUA